UCAACAUCCAGUUUUUGAACA
ensembl:piRNA 21ur-2551 ncRNA